rnacentral:tRNA from 1 species
GCGGAAGUGGCGGAAUAGGUAGACGCCCGGGUUUUAGGUGCCCGUAUCCGAGAGGGUGUGCGGGUUCGAGUCCCGUCUUCCGCA